rnacentral:rRNA from 1 species
GACGAACGCUGGCGGCGUGCUUAACACAUGCAAGUCGAGCGGUAAGGCUCCUUCGGGAGUACACGAGCGGCGAACGGGUGAGUAACACGUGAGUAAUCUGCCCUUCACUUCGGGAUAACCACCGGAAACGGUGGCUAAUACCGAAUACGACCAGUCUUCGCAUGCGGUGCUGGUGGAAAGUCUUUUCGGUGAAGGAUGUGCUCGCGGCCUAUCAGCUUGUUGGUGGGGUAAUGGCCCACCAAGGCUUCGACGGGUAGCCGGCCUGCGAGGGUGACCGGCCACACUGGGACUGAGACACGGCCCAGACUCCUCCGGGGGGCAGCAGUGGGGAAUGGUGGACACUGGGCGGAAGCCUGAUCCAGCAACGCCGCGUGAGGGAUGACGGCCUUCGGGUUGUAAACCUCUUUCAGUACCGACGAAGCGCCCUGGCGGGUGGUGACGGUAGGUACAGAAGAAGGACCGGCCAACUACGUG